UUCCACUACUCUUUUCCUCUCACUCCCGUACAAACUCUCAAGAAACAAAAAAAACAUGAAGAACCCCAUUUACUAGUAGUGGUUAGGAAGCAAGAAACUUGGAAAAGAAGUGCUAGAGCAGCCCCGAAUUGGUGAAGAAUCUAAGCUUGGACCAUCAAAUUGAAGUAUAGGAGAAGAUCUAUUGAAUUCAACUAGAGAUUAAGGAGUUGAUUUCUAGUGAGUCCUGAUUCGCACAGUGGCCCCCGUACUUAGAUAUUCCAGAUGGCUAGCAGGAGUAACAACGAUAGCGAAGUAGGAAGUAAUGUAAGUAGCAGUGCACCUUAUGAGAAACCAGUUCCUAUGUUUCCAACACCAGAUAUUUAUCGUGCAGAUGAAAAUGAAGAUAUUAGGGAACAUAUGAAAUUUGUGUUAGAAAUGAUUGAGAGGUAUAACAAAGACAUGAGACCUUUCAAUAGCCAAACCCUACGAAAGAGAGGCUGUGAAAUGUGCUAGUUUGGUGAAGUCUUUACCAAUCACGGGACCUUGGAAAGAGUUCAGACAAGAGUACUAUUGGACUGAGGUGUACCCAAAUGCUCUAAAUAUGGCAUAUAAGGAUAAUCAUGAUGAUGUGGAGUUUAGCUGUACGAGAAUAGAAGAUAUCAGGGGGGAUAUGUCAGUAAAUGAUUUGUUGAAGAAAAUCUUUGAUGUAUAUGAUAAGGAGGAAGAGAAAGAAGCAAGAGAAGCAAGAGCUAGAGUUGAUAAGCUAAGAGAGAUAGAGCUUCCUAUAGGAAGCAAUUUGAGAGAGGGUCAUCUAGUAAAAAUAUAUCAUCAGGAGGAGGAAGUAGGAGAUCAAGCUCUUCCACGCCUCUUAGUGUCAGUUCUACAGUAAGCUCAUUCGAGGACCAAGUACACCUAAAUCCUAAUUAUGAACCUGAGCCCACUCCAGAGAGAAGUUUUGAUAGUGGGUAUGCCCAUGAUCCAUACAGAUUGGAUUAGCAUGAGUGGAGUUGGAGGGCGGAGAUCGUUGAAGAGAAUAGUUGAUGUUUAUCUUACCUAGUGUAUGCCUGAGCCCUUUUGUUUGGUUUUCUUUUCUUUUGUUGUUAUUUUAACUUGUCUAUUUUGUGUUUUCCUUUCUUAUUGGACCUUGUUAUUGAAACUCUAAGUAGUUGUUAUUUCAAAAUUCCUUUUCUAGAGGAAGUUAAGGAUUACUGGAAGUAUGUAGCUUUGAACCUAUAAGGUUAUUUAUUCGUGUAUGGUUACCCACUUUUAAUA